AACGAACGCUGGCGGCAUGCCUAACACAUGCAAGUCGAACGAGAUCUUCGGGUCUAGUGGCGCACGGGUGCGUAACGCGUGGGAAUCUGCCCUUUGGUUCGGAAUAACAGUUGGAAACGACUGCUAAUACCGGAUGAUGACGAAAGUCCAAAGAUUUAUCGCCAGAGGAUGAGCCCGCGUAGGAUGAGCUAGUUGGUGUGGUAAAGGCGCACCAAGGCGACGAUCCUUAGCUGGUCUGAGAGGAUGAUCAGCCACACUGGGACUGAGACACGGCCCAGACUCCUACGGGAGGCAGCAGUGGGGAAUAUUGGACAAUGGGCGAAAGCCUGAUGCAGCAAUGCCGCGUGAGUGAUGAAGGCCUUAGGGUUGUAAAGCUCUUUUACCCGGGAUGAUAAUGACAGUACCGGGAGAAUAAGCUCCGGCUAACUCCGUGCCAGCCGCCGCGGUAACAC
rnacentral:rRNA from 1 species